UUAUUGGUGAGGUUAAUAAAUUAAAUUAAACUUUUUUUUUUUAAUUCAGGCAUUGCUGAAGACAGCUCUCCUCCGCUACGGGGCUUUUCCUGUUCGCUGUCGCAUGUUCUGAUUUCAUCAGUGCACGCGGGAUUCCGCCGUUUAAACAGGAUUAAGAUCAUUGAUGUUGCAGUGCUGAUGUCCCGCCCUCCUCCAGACCCACUGUACAUCCUGAGGGGUUCAGGGGCCGCAGUGAACACCCUUCACUUCUGCUGUGGUGGGGAUGGACCACCAUUUCUCUACUCUGGGUCAGGUAAAGGUGCGAUCCAUGUUUGGAACCUGACCACUAGGAGAGCAGAACAUGUUUUAGAGAGCCAUGCUGGGAACUCUGUUAUUUGGCUCCACACCUUCAAAGACAGCAGCAGCAGCCUAAUCAGUCAGGGUCGGGACAUGCGGGUGUGCGUGUGGGAUCUGUCUGAAGGCCGCAGCACAGUGACGGACUCUCUCCUCACGGGCAGUGUGGGGUUCUGUCAGUGCUCUCUGCUGGAGUCCCGGCCCGGGUCUGCUCUACUGGCCCACCCCACAGGACACAUGGAGGAGGUGAGCGUGGUGGAGAUGAGGAGCUGGACUCCGGUGUGCACUCUGAAACCUGAUUCAAAGCUGGGGAUGCUCAUGUGUAUGAAGAUGUGGCAGACGGAUUCUGGUCCUGUUCUGUGUGCUGGGUAUGAGGACGGCUCUCUGGUGUUAUGGGAUGUUUCCCAUCGCCGUCCGUUCAGCUGUCUGAAGGUGCAUCCUGAUCCAGUCAUGUGUCUAGACAUUGAUGUAUGCAAGCAGAAAGGCAUUUCUGGGUCUUCAGAGAAGAUUCUCCAAUCCUGGACAUUUGACAACCAGCAAAACCUUCAGAUGCGCGACUCCGUUCAGAUGACCAAUCCUGGGGUCUCCCAGCUACGUAUCCGCGCAGACGGCAAGAUCCUAGCAACGGCGGGCUGGGACAACAACAUCAGAGUGUUUGGCUUGAAGAAACUGAAGCCACUGGCUGUUCUGCAACAUCAUACUGACAUGGAAUGGUUGCAGUGAUUGUGAUUUUGUGCACGAUCAAGAGGCAGGCGUGCGGUGACACACUUCCUGUUUUGUCUCUCAACGGCGCCUUUCAGAAUCCACCAGAACUGGAGCCUGUUUUCAGCUGGUCAUGCAGAGAAUGAAUGUGUUGGACUACUGUAAAGACCAGCCGCGACUGACGGCAGUAAAGGACUCCAUGUCUUGCUGUUUUUUAAUUUUAAACCCAAACUCUCACUUUUCUGUCUGUUUUCCUCUGCAUUUCAUUUCAUUGGUGGAGUGUAAUUCGAUGACACUGCUCCAUUAUGCAUAGGAUUAGAGUUUUCGCCAUUUUAAGGAGGGUACAUAGUGAUGAUCUUUGCACAUGAUGGGCACGUAUGGCUAACUUGUUCAUUUAGAAAGAUCCAUGCGAGUUAAAUUUAGCAUAAAAUGCUUUAAAAUCUCAGAAUGGUGAGUUUAUACCCAUCACCCCCAGUCACAAUGACCAAUUGACUUGGUCGGAAAACCAACUAAAAUAAAGUUUGGUCCACAGAGGGCAAAACAUACAGGAAAUUGCCAUGGCUUUUUCCUGUGCUCCUCAUCUCUGCCAUCCAGAUGAAGAGCAGGAAAUCACAUGGGUUUGUGAACAAUAUGGAGUUUGAGUGAAAUUCUAAAUUUGGAAGAAUUCUGGUCAUUCGCCAAAUGUAAAUUGAUAGAGCAUUCCCAGAUAUACACCCUGAAAAUGAUGUAAAUAAAAGAUUAUUGGAGUACAUUUUACAAGAAAAUACAAUGUCAGUCAUUCUAAUAAAAAAAAAAUCAAUGGUACUUGUCACUACUUUGUAAUUAUGUGUGAAAUUUACUAGCGAUUUCUCUGUGAAAAUAGUGUCAAAGUAAACCCCACACCAAAUUUCAUCCAUUUGGCAGAUGCUUUUAUUCAAAGCAACUUGCAGGAUAGGUUACCCAAAAAUGAAAAUGACCCCAUGAUUUACUCCAUAUUUAUUUAUGCAUAUUUAAAACGUUAUAAUCUAAAAUAACUUGCUUACUAGUUUAGUAACACGUAAUGCGAUGUAUGACACAGGAUGUAGGAGUAUUGUAAGCUUGGAUGCCUCUCGCAAUUUAAACAAAAAGGGCUGAGCAACAAACUCAAGCUCCUCUUCUCUUAUAUCGAAAUCUUCCGACAUUUCUCUUUUAAAAUUUCUCGUUUUAGACUUCUAAUUCGUGACUGGUGUUUUGUAUCAUUUGCACUUCCGUGUUUGUCAUUGCGUCAUGCGACGGGUCAGGGGUUACUCUUCCACCACAAAUCGAUGUGUACGGCUGUCUGCUGGAAGUUAGUUAUUAUAGUUAAUAAAGUUUUAAAUAUGGCUAUUUCUUUUACGAAAACCCAUUGCUUCAGAAGGCCUUUAUAAACCCCCAGAGGUGUGUGGAGUACUUUUACGAUGGAUGCACUUUAUUUUGCUUCAAAUUGCCCCCAUUUACUACCAUUAUAAAGCUUGGAAGAGCCAAUAUAUUUUUAAAUGUUCGUCUGAAAGAAGAUAGUCACAUACACCUAUGGCUUGAGGGUGAGUAAAUCAUGGAAUAAUUUUUAUUUUUGGGUGAACUAACCCUUUAAGGUAGCCUAUACAUUUUGUCAUGUAUUCUCUGAGAAUUGAACCCACGACCUUGGCAUUGCUCACGCCGUGCUCUACUGUUUGAGCUACAGGAAUAUGAGAUUCUAAUCUCAAUUAAUAAACUCUCAGUCAGUGCCGUAAGCAUAACCACUGCAAAUGAAAGUGUUUUUAAAGUGUUUCCAUUUUCAUGUUUUCCAGUGCUGACUGUCAUAACGUGGCACAGCCUUAUGAGAAAGAAAACAGCCAAUCAGAAGGCAGGGCAGGUUAGAUGAUAAAGAUUAGAGUUAUUCAUCAUCUUGGCUCUGGCUGCCUCCACACGUUUGUUUUGAUCUCUUUGUGACACUGAGAGAUGAGGUAGCAUGUGGUCCAGUCGGGUAUCUGCGGACGGUGCUGUGCACUAAAUGUGUAUGGAAUGUGAAAGUGUGCGUUUUACUCUGUUGGUGUCAUUGACAGCACUGCAAACAUAUGCAGGUGGAUGUGUCUGAAAAUGUGUAUAUGUGUGCAUUUAUGUGUGAAGGGCACGGCAUGUUGACGUUUGCUUACUGGGACCAACACCCCCUUACCAGUUCUGGAAAUCCCUGGCACUCCAGGAGAACCAGUGUUAAGGCUGUUUACAGUGGCCAGAGUGUCAUGGGAGAGGUGGAGAUUGACCGCUGUGUCUCGCAAAGCACGUACAAGCCACAUAUUAUGUUUGUCACGCACUUCCUCCAUUCGCAUCCAUUAAGGCAUGUUUAGUAGGUGACACAAACAUCUGAGACUAAGAGAAAUAGUACAGCAGAUUACGUUUCCUGUUUUUAAUGGGUUCAUUCUGUUGUGGCAGUUACAUUUUCUAAAUUCCAAAGAUCUUCGUCAGUUGAUCUACACUAGUAGAUAUCCUCCUCUGUUUUGACUUUUUUUUACUUCUUAAAAAUGGUACAAAUAAAGUUAGUGAAUAACUUUAUUUAUUAUGAAAUGCAAUAAGCACUAAAUUAUAAGAUAUUUCCGUCUUUGAUCUUUUUACAAU